rfam:Gossypium hirsutum cultivar TM-1 chromosome 9, whole genome shotgun sequence
AACCCAUGGUAAGGGAGCCUUCUUAAUAGGUCCUUGUAUCUCUCCCAUCCGUCAUAAAGAGUUUCUAAAUCCAUCUGCACAAAAGAAGAGAUAUCAUUUCUUAGUUU